GACCAGUCAACUGGACACCAGGUGAAAAGUAACCAAUCAGGCAGCAGCAGAGACACCAAAAACUGUACGGGGCCUAUAUCGCAUCUUAAAGCAAAGAACAAUCACUACUUUGGGAUUUCCUGCAACCCAGACAUCCAGGAUUCACCCCCCAAAAAGAUGACAUUUCAGCAGCUGCAUCUUUGGACCCAAUGUCCUGGACCAGCUCCCAAGAUUGCAUUCCUGCACAGCUCUUUUGACCUCCCUCUCCUUCUGCAGUCCUAGGAUUUUGUUAUCCUGUAAUUCUGGGAAUGGUUCCAGUGGUUCAGCAAGAAAAAAAAGACCCAUAAAUACUUGAUAAAGCAUAAAUUUUCAUUCAGUUGAGGACUGCUGUAUACACACAGACAGAAAAGCCAG